rnacentral:rRNA from 1 species
GAUGAACGCUGGCGGCGUGCCUAAUACAUGCAAGUCGAACGGGGAGUAGCAAUACUUCUAGUGGCGAACGGGUGAGUAACGCGUUGGUGACCUGCCCCGAAGCGUGGGAUACCAAUCCGAAAGGAUUGCUAAUACCGCAUGGAGUUCUCGAGAUUAGAGGCUUGGGAACGAAAGGAGACAUUCACUUCGGGAGGGGCCUGCAUCCCAUCAGCUAGUUGGUGAGGUAACGGCUCACCAAGGCGAUGACGGGUAGGGACCUGAGAGGGUGGCCCCCCACAAUGGAACUGAAACAACGGUCCAUACACCUACGGGUGGCAGCAGUAGGGAAUAUUGCAAAAUAGGGCGCAAGCCCGAUGCAGCAACG